GAUGAACGCUGGCGGCGUGCCUAAUACAUGCAAGUCGAGCGAACAGACGAGGAGCUUGCUCCUCUGACGUUAGCGGCGGACGGGUGAGUAACACGUGGAUAACCUACCUAUAAGACUGGGAUAACUUCGGGAAACCGGAGCUAAUACCGGAUAACAUGUUGAACCGCAUGGUUCAACAGUGAAAGACGGUCUUGCUGUCACUUAUAGAUGGAUCCGCGCCGCAUUAGCUAGUUGGUAAGGUAACGGCUUACCAAGGCAACGAUGCGUAGCUGACCUGAGAGGGUGAUCGGCCACACUGGAACUGAGACACGGUCCAGACUCCUACGGGAGGCAGCAGUAGGGAAUCUGCCGCAAUGGGCGAAAGCCUGACGGAGCAACGCCGCGUGAGUGAAGAAGAUCUUCGGAUCGUAAAACUCUGUUAUUAGGGAAGAACAAAUGUGUAAGUAACUAUGCACGUCUUGACGGUACCUAAUCAGAAAGCCACGGCUAACUACGUG
rnacentral:rRNA from 1 species